rnacentral:lncRNA from 1 species
GGGGGUAAGAGGGGAUGGAUCUCAGCCAUCACAAAAUGGGGGGCCUUUAUGUUCAGGUUUUGCCCAAGAAUCAGCUUAUUUGCUUCUUGUACUAGCAGGGCAGUUGCUGCCAAGGCCCUCUAAUAGGGGGGCCAUCCUUUAGAAACCUGUCUAGUUGUUUAGAGACGUAGGCUACCGGCCUCAGCCAGGGCCCCACAGUUUGGGUUAAAAGUCCAGCUGCCAUCUUUUCUCUCUCUGACGCAUACAAUGGAAAAGGCUUUGUCAGAUCGGGUAGCCCCAGGGCUGGGGCUGCCAGAAGUUUUUCCUUUAACUAAUGAAAGACUCGCUGUUGUCGGGAUCCCCAUUUCAAAGUUUCCGGGUCCCCGCCCCCUUUGUGACCUCAUACAAAGGCUUGGCUAAUACUGCAAAGUUUGGGAUCCACAGUCUACAAAACCCCACAGCUCCUAAGAAUUCUCUCACCUGCCUUCUGCCCUUAAGCUCCGGUAGAUUGCAAAUAACCUGCUUUCUUUCUGUUCCCGAGCUGCGUUCGGACCCAUGUCUUAUUGUAAAUCCCACGCAAGGUACCUGCCGUCGGAAGAUUUGAGCUUUCUUCUUGAACACCUCAUACCCACAGUCCUCCAGACAGAAAGACAACAGGUACAAAGCCCUAAGGAUUAUAAAGGUAUGCUGCUUACCAUCAUCUUAGUGACCAAGGCAGCGAAGCUGUUUCUGUACCUUGGAACAGUCUUCCCUGACAAGCCAGAGAACAGUGAUAAAGCCACCAGCCUUGGGAUCAGGACUGAAAAGGCAAGAGUGAUGGAGAUUUCUCCUGCGCUAAGCCAAGAGAAGGUUUCAGCACUUCAGACAGCUCCCACCGAAGUAGCCGCGCUCCCAGCUGCUUGCAGAUGUUGAAAAGGAAAGCCUCGGUUUGUCUUGAGGUUGUCAGCAGGUGCAAGACACGUAAUAAAAUGCAAUGUGUUCCUAAUUCA